UCGUUCUUUGCAGUGUUUUAAAAUUUUCAUGUUGUUAAUUUAACCUUUAAAGUCCUUAUAUCCAAUUUAUGUUUUGACCAAGGAACCAGAAUACUAUUAGUGAACUUGGUGAGGAGGCAUUGUUUCCCGGUGUACUGGAAUGGAGAUAAUAGGUGUGUGCUUAGAGGCCAGAAACAUUUACCGAACAUUUGCAGAUUGCAUAUCACCAUUUUCGUUUGGAUGUUUUUUCACCCAGGUAUGGCGCAGGAGGUUUCAACCCUCUAGGUCUUUUGCAGGUUCCAGGUUCCAGGUUUAGGAAUUCAUACUAUCUUUACCGGGAUGAUGAUACUUGAGAAGCGUGUGGCUUAGUGUUAAUCCUUCCUGCAUCCCACUACUACGACUUUUACAAUGUUCCAUACUUCGAUUAUUUUCAUAGGCAAACAGUUUUUAAAGGCUUACACAUGUUCUCGAAGUUGUUAGUCCUAAAUUCCUAAUGCUAAAAUAAGAAAAUCAACAUUUAUAUGAUUAUGAUCGCAAGAUAAUAGUUCUUCACUUU